GGCAGCGCGGGGCAACCUGGCGGCGAGUGGCGAACGGGUGAGUAAUAUAUCGGAACGUACCCUGGAGUGGGGGAUAACGUAGCGAAAGUUACGCUAAUACCGCAUACGAUCUAAGGAUGAAAGUGGGGGAUCGCAAGACCUCAUGCUCCUGGAGCGGCCGAUAUCUGAUUAGCUAGUUGGUAGGGUAAAAGCCUACCAAGGCAUCGAUCAGUAGCUGGUCUGAGAGGACGACCAGCCACACUGGAACUGAGACACGGUCCAGACUCCUACGGGAGGCAGCAGUGGGGAAUUUUGGACAAUGGGCGCAAGCCUGAUCCAGCAAUGCCGCGUGAGUGAAGAAGGCCUUCGGGUUGUAAAGCUCUUUUGUCAGGGAAGAAACGGUGAGCUCUAAUACAGUUUGCUAAUGACGGUACCUGAAGAAUAAGCACCGGCUAACUACGUGCCAGCAGCCGCGGUAAUACGUAGGGUGCAAGCGUUAAUCGGAAUUACUGGGCGUAAAGCGUGCGCAGGCGGUUUUGUAAGUCUGUCGUGAAAUCCCCGGGCUCAACCUGGGAAUGGCGAUGGAGACUGCAAGGCUAGAGUUUGGCAGAGGGGGGUAGAAUUCCACGUGUAGCAGUGAAAUGCGUAGAUAUGUGGAGGAACACCGAUGGCGAAGGCAGCCCCCUGGGUCAAAACUGACGCUCAUGCACGAAGCGUGGGGAGCAAACAGGAUUAGAUACCCUGGUAGUCCACGCCCUAAACGAUGUCUACUAGU
rnacentral:rRNA from 1 species